rnacentral:rRNA from 1 species
AGUUGAUUAUGGCUCAGGAUGAACGCUAGCUACAGGCUUAACACAUGCAAGUCGAGGGGCAGCAUGGAGUUUGCUGCAAACUCUGAUGGCGACCGGCGCACGGGUGAGUAACGCGUAUCCAACCUUCCCUAUAGUAGAGGAUAGCCCGGCGAAAGUCGGAUUAAUACUCUAUGUUUUCCGUUGCAGACAUCUAAGAUGGAACAAAGGCUUGCCGCUAUAGGAUGGGGAUGCGUCUGAUUAGGUAGUCGGCGGGGUAACGGCCCACCGAGCCAUCGAUCAGUAGGGGUUCUGAGAGGAAGGUCCCCCACAUUGGAACUGAGACACGGUCCAAACUCCUACGGGAGGCAGCAGUGAGGAAUAUUGGUCAAUGGGCGAGAGUCUGAACCAGCCAAGUAGCGUGCAGGACGACGGCCCUAUGGGUUGUAAACUGCUUUUAUGCGGGGAUAAAGUUCACUACGUGUAGUGUUUUGUAGGUACCGCAUGAAUAAGGACCGGCUAAUUCCGUGCCAGCCGCGGC